CGAGGCGCGCCGGCAGCGGG
rnacentral:misc_RNA from 1 species